GCGCAUCGCCCUAUAAGAAGGGUCCCGGCCUCGCCUCUUCCAAAGGUAUCAUGGGCCGCCAGGGGGCUCCGCCGAGCCGCGAUGAGGGGCCUCUCCGGGGGAGGAGCUGCGUUCCUGCAUCAACCUCGAUGUUCGAGGGAUGGGGACGGUGAGGCAACUCGAAGAGCGGCGGCACACGCAGUGCGGGGGAGGCAGAGAUGACCACAGCUGGUGUGCAGGGUAGAUUUCGCCGGCCUCUUCCAGCUUUCCGUUUACUCAGAUGCGACCGCUAUGUGCUUCUUCGUCACUGCCGUCAUCCUCUGCAGAGCCGAGCCGUCGGAAGUAGAGUCAAGCAGCUGGAGAGGCAGGCAAAUCAAACCCGAUGCUGCCGGCAACGUUGUCUACGCUGCUCUGAAGAUCAGCUUGGCCCUGAAGAAAUUAUCUGAGUAUGGUGUGGUUAAGCAUGAAGAUCUGUUCAUCGCCUCCAAGCUAUGGUUCUGUGAUCAUGCACCUGAAGACGUGCCAGAGGCAAUUGUCGCCACCCUUGAAGAGCUUUUACAGCAACUUCUGUGUUGAUCUUGUUCGACCACCUCCUCCUGUACUAUCUUCUCCUCAAUCGUGACUUAUACUAGGAAUAUUUUGAUAGUCGUGAAUCGAUUUCGAAGACUUGCACUCCUCAAUAACAACCACAUGAUGGGAAUUUACAAAGGAGCAGAAUUUGGCUUAUGAUCAAUGAUCGUAUCAGCCAACCAACAUUUGUAAGUCGAGAGAGUGGAGCUGGCAAGGCAGAAAGCACUAGAAGUCGUAUGCAGUAUCUUGCUUUUAUGGGCGGUAAACCUCAAGCUGAGGGAACGUCAGUGCAACAACAAAUUCUAGAGGUGUGUUCCUCUGUGGAACUUUGCACCCUUCUUUUGUUGGUAGAAGAAACACAUUUGACAUGAGUUUCUAACAUGCUACUUAUCUGACACAGUCAAAUCCUGUGAUCGAGGCAUUUGGCAAUGCAAAGUUAGGAAUAAUAAUUCUAGGUAAUGAACCUAAAUGUGAUGCAUCCUCCUUUACUUCUUGGAUAUCUAUUAAUUAAGUUACACAACUUCACUAUGUUUACUAUCUUCAAAGGACUUUUACUCUACAUCGUACCUUUCUUGAUUCUGCAAUCAUUUUGGCAAAUUUGUUGAGAUUCGGUUUGACCAGAACGGGAAGAUUUCCAUCACGACUUAUCUUUCUGGAAAGGUCACGUGUUUGUCAAAUAUCUAACCCAGAAAGGAACCACCACUGCUUAUCCAUGCUGUGUGCUGCACCACCAGAAGUAAGAUCAUGUUCAGUAUAUAUGGUCUUCUUUUAAAGUUUUUUGGAACCACAUUAUUUGUGAACUACUACAUUUUGUUCGCUAAUGUCGUACAGGAAUUGUCUACAACACUCACUAAGUCUGAAACAUACCUAUUCCGGACUGUAAAAACUGAAGAUAUUUGCGAAAACCUCAGGGCAUUCACACAUAAAGAGACAACUGCUACCAGCUGAAAUAUAUCGUGUGACUUUCCUGGAUAAACUUUGCUUCUGCAUUCUGUAAAAUAGGCUUAAACAUACUCAUCUCAAGGAAGAUAUAGUUUCUCAUGCAUUUCUCGCAAGUAAAUUUGUGUUUCAGAGAUAUUAGAUUUUCAAAUUAAGAUGAGUAGCAACUGUAAGAUAUAGGCAAUCUUUCUGCCAAUUAAGUUGUCGUUUCUGCUGAUACAAUGAGUUAAGCGUUUUGCAUAUAUGGAGACGGAGAAUAUAACAAUGAGCAUUGGGUGGCCUACUAAAAGCAAAGAGAAUUGCAUAAUCAUAUAUGAAGAAGAACAGCUGAUGGCAGAGAAUUAUGCAGAAUGGGCAGUGAUAUAUAUGCAGGUGUAUGCAUCAAGUUCUACAAUUUCAGACUUGAGCAUAUAGUUUGAGAUAAAAUAUGUUGAAUCCAAGGAAUAAUGCAUGCUUUGAUCCAGUAGCGCCACCAACAUCGUCUACGGUGACAAUAUAUCACUCUAAACACGCACGGAAGAAUUUGCGUUUGCUAUGCAAAUACUUCCUUAUUCCUUCUCCCACAUUUAGUUCAAAAGUUGAAAGAAGUCAGGAUGGCAUGUGCAAUUUGGUGCUGUUGAAUUUUCUUGCACAUUAGACCAGAAAUAAAAGUGGAAUGAUGUAGGUCAGAAAUAAAUGUUCUAUUGUAGAAGUUCAUUCCUGUUUGCCUAAGAUGGACCACAUAUGGUAUAUGGUGACAAUUAAUGUACUUUUUGACAAUACAACCUUAUCAACACAGUUCUCUUACUGUGAUUGAAUAGACAACAGUUCUAUUUAUUGCUAGAAGAAAGAAACCACUUAUUAACACCAUUUAUCGACGUGGCGCGGCGUGUCGCCGCGCGCGCGGCCGGUGAGGAGGAUGGCCACGGCGCAGAAUCGCCGCGCUCCUCUUCCUCCCUCUCACGCAGAAAAGAAAAAGGAGGACACGACGAGCGCCUCUCUGUCUCUCUCGCGCGGAAACGGAGAUGGGAGGGGGAAGGGGCUGCCUUGCCGGUGCCGCCUUGGCUCGCCGCGCCGGCGAUGGCGCGCGCACCGGGGCCGAGCGGGCGGGCGAGAGAGGAACGGACAAGCGAGAGAAGCGCUGGGGGCGGAAUGGCGUUAGGGUUUCUGAUGGAUCGAUCGGGUCAGAGUUUUGAUAUGGCGAAAACAGCACCAAACCGUCGGAUUGAAAUGGACGGUUGGGAUACUAACCCUAAUGCGUUGUGGGCCGCUGGGCCGAAAGAAAAUGAGGCUGGCUGCGGCGGGAGGUAGCCACGCGCGCUAGGCCAAGCCCAGCAGCUGCGGGCGCCGCCGCGCAGCUAGGCCGCGGUAGGCCGAGGCCAGCAGCUUCGCGCGCCGGGCCAGCUGCAUUUUUUUUAUAUAUUUUUUGAUAUUUGUCCAGUUUUUGGGCAGAUUUCAAAUAAGUUUUUCUAUUCAAUAUUUUUCAACGAAAUUUUGUUUUAGAAGCAUCUAAAUUUUGUUUGGUUCCACAUAUGCUGAUUCCUUUUCUUGUAUGAGCGAUUUCCUCAAUUCCAAUUCUGGUUGGUAUGCUUUUGAUCCUUUGUUAGAAGCAUCUAAAUUUUGUUUGGUUCCACAUAUGCUAAUUCCUUUUCUUGUAUGAGUGAUUUCCUCAAUUCCAAUUCUGGUUGGUAUGCUUUUCAUCCUUUGUUAGAAGCAUCUAAAUUUUGUUUGGUUCCACAUAUGCUGAUUCCUUUUCUUGUAUGAGCGAUUUCCUCAAUUCCAAUUCUGCUUGGUAUGCUUUUGAUU